AAGUCGUAACAAGGUUUCCGUAGGUGAACCUGCGGAAGGAUCAUUAACACUCCAAAACUUCUCAUAGCUCUGGGAAACCAGAGUUUAUGAAACCCUAUUCACAUUAGCGAACCCGGCUGGAUGUAUGUAGUCGAGAGACUCAGCCAUCUAAGCUACUUUCUUUUGUCCAUUUUUCAUUUUUUAACCCCAAUCAUUAUAACAUUUCUUUGACUGACUGGAAGAUCUCAACCAUCUUCCGUUGCUCUUCGCUCUAACCAGUGGAGGCAAUGAAAACUACCAAAACAAAAACAAAAAAACAACUCUUAGCAACGGAUAUCUUGGUUCUC
rnacentral:misc_RNA from 1 species